rnacentral:rRNA from 1 species
CGCGUAGGUGGCCUGAUAAGUAGGGGGUGAAAUCUCACGGCUCAACCGGGAGGCUGCCUUCUAGACUGUUGGGCUCGAGCAUGGUAGAGGCUGGUGGAAUUCCCGGUGUAGCGGUGGAAUGCGUAGAGAUCGGGAAGAACAUCGGUGGCGAAGGCGGCCAGCUGGGCCAUUGCUGACACUGAUGCGCGAAAGCGUGGGGAGCAAACA